rnacentral:rRNA from 1 species
CGUGACCUACGGGGGGCAGCAGUGAGGAAUAUUGGUCAAUGGGCUUACGCCUGAACCAGCCAAGUCGCGUGAGGGAAGACUGCCCUAUGGGUUGUAAACCUCUUUUGUCAGGGAGCAACGCCGGCUACGUGUAGCCGGACUGAGAGUACCUGAAGAAAAAGCAUCGGCUAACUCCGUGCCAGCAGCCGCGGUAAUACGGAGGAUGCGAGCGUUAUCCGGAUUUAUUGGGUUUAAAGGGUGCGUAGGCGGAAUGCCAAGUCAGCGGUAAAAUCGCGGGGCUCAACCCCGGAACUGCUUUGGAAACU